GCACCAGAGGUCUAGUUGUAAAAUAGUACCUUGGCACGGUAUAUACCCGUGUUCGAUUCCCGGUUGGUGUA
rnacentral:tRNA from 1 species